AGAGUUUGAUCCUGGCUCAGGACGAACGCUGGCGGCGCGCCUAACACAUGCAAGUCGAACGGAGCUGAGAGAAGCUUGCUUUUCUUAGCUUAGUGGCGAACGGGUGAGUAACGCGUGAGUAACCUGCCCUGGAGUGGGGGACAACAGUUGGAAACGACUGCUAAUACCGCAUAAGCCCACGGCCCGGCAUCGGGCUGAGGGAAAAGGAUUUAUUCGCUUCAGGAUGGACUCGCGUCCAAUUAGCUAGUUGGUGAGGUAACGGCCCACCAAGGCGACGAUUGGUAGCCGGACUGAGAGGUUGAACGGCCACAUUGGGACUGAGACACGGCCCAGACUCCUACGGGAGGCAGCAGUGGGGGAUAUUGCACAAUGGGGGAAACCCUGAUGCAGCGACGCCGCGUGGAGGAAGAAGGUUUUCGGAUUGUAAACUCCUGUCGUUAGGGACGAUAAUGACGGUACCUAACAAGAAAGCACCGGCUAACUACGUGCCAGCAGCCGCGGUAAAACGUAGGGUGCAAGCGUUGUCCGGAAUUACUGGGUGUAAAGGGAGCGCAGGCGGACCGGCAAGUUGGAAGUGAAAACUAUGGGCUCAACCCAUAAAUUGCUUUCAAAACUGUUGGCCUUGAGUAGUGCAGAGGUAGGUGGAAUUCCCGGUGUAGCGGUGGAAUGCGUAGAUAUCGGGAGGAACACCAGUGGCGAAGGCGACCUACUGGGCACCAACUGACGCUGAGGCUCGAAAGCAUGGGUAGCAAACAGGAUUAGAUACCCUGGUAGUCCAUGCCGUAAACGAUG
rnacentral:rRNA from 1 species